UACAGAGGGUGCAAGCGUUAAUCGGAAUUACUGGGCGUAAAGCGUGCGUAGGUGGUUCGUUAAGUCUGUCGUGAAAGCCCCGGGCUCAACCUGGGAAUGGCGAUGGAUACUGGCGGGCUAGAGUGCGGUAGAGGAGAGUGGAAUUCCCGGUGUAGCAGUGAAAUGCGUAGAGAUCGGGAGGAACAUCAGUUGCGAAGGCGGCUCUC
rnacentral:rRNA from 1 species